rnacentral:rRNA from 1 species
UACAGAGGUGGCAAGCGUUGUUCGGAAUUACUGGGCGUAAAGGGCGCGUAGGCGGCCUACUAAGUCAGACGUGAAAUCCCCCCGGCUUAACCUGGGAACUGCGUCUGAUACUGGAAGGCUUGAGGAUGGGAGAGGGAUGUAGAAUUCCAGGUGUAGCGGUGAAAUGCGUAGAUAUCUGGAGGAAUACCGGUGGCGAAGGCGGCAUCCUGGACCAUUACUGACGCUGAGGCGCGAAAGCUAGGGGAGCAAACGGG